GCGGGGCUGCGCGAUGACGCCAGCGAGGGCGCGGCUCGCGGCUGUGGCCAUGUGCGUCUGCGUGCGCAGCCGGCAGCCAUGGGCGGCGGGUCCUCCGUUGUGUGUGCUGCGGCGCUCACCGUUUCUGCAUCGGCCGCCAUCAGGGACCGGGAGCCAUGCCGGGCUUUCCCGAGGCCAGGUGGCAGUCGAGGCCAGGUGGAUGGCCCCGCAGCGUGGAAGGGCUCACCGAGCUCUUCUGGAAGACGUCCCGGUAACGGCAGUUGUGAAAGCCGGCCUCUGCCUGUCUGGAACGGGACCCUCAUCUCCCUGAACCAUUAUCGACUUACCUAAUAUGGGUACAGUCGACCUAAUAGACGGCAGUCCACAUCCAUCUCAGAAUUGUUCUCCAGCCUCGAAAAUGCAUCUUGAGAAGAAUAAGGAAGAAAGGCCAUUGUUUUUGUUGUUUAGGUACGUAUGUUACGUAGAUUAUUUCUGUUGUCGUCGUGAGAGUUUAAGGAACGCUAUUCUAAAAUUAGUGUCAGCUUUAAAUAAGAUGGCCUCUUCCAGAAAGUCUUCCUUACUUCCUCAGCCAAUGUAGAGGUUAUCUGGUGCCUCUGGAGCCAAACUCCGUAACCUUAAUUCAAUUUCAGGACUAGUUCUCUCCAGAGUUCUCAAGAGACUUGGGUUGGGGAGACUGCACUGUGGGUUGUGCGGGAUUUGAGUGAUGCCUUUAGCAAGCCUCCAGCGUGCUUGGGUCUGCGGUGACCCUGUGCAUUCCUACAGCGCUUGCCAGAACAAUUUUGAAGUGGUUUGAGGCCUUGCCCUGCUCUCUCCAGAGCAAGGUUAUAGAAAUUUCAGACAAUAUGGCAGAGGGCCUGCCACGUGGGUAAACUACAUGUGGAGAGAAUGGAAUUUACAGUGAUGCGCUUCCUUGUUUGUAAUUUGCUGUGGUGGAAAAGAUUUGCCCAGGAUGUAGAGGUGAAUAAGUCAUCGAAUUUUCUUUGUGUGUGUUUAGUUUUUUGUUUUUGUUUUUUUUUUUCAUGUCAGGGGUCUAACUGUGGGCCCUGGAUGGCUUUGAAUGCAGAGAUCUGCCCACCACUGCCUCCCAAAUGCAGGGACAAAAGGUGUAUGCCACCAUGCUAGGCGCUCAUUUCAAGUCUUUAACUCUAUUUCUUUUGUAUGCAUGUCUGUGUGGGUGGGCCCAUGGAUGGCACAGCACACAGAGGUCAGAAAGCAACUCACAGGAGUGGGUCCUGAAGGUCAAGCUCGUGUAGGUUUGGCGGUGACUGUGUCUUCAUUACCAAGUGAGGUGGUUGUAUGCGUAGGGGUUUACUAGCAGGAAGUGUCAAGUUGAAAUGUGAUAAGCAUCUCUGGCCCUACAGCCUGCCCUGUUUUCUGGGUGUCAGUCAUGAGAGCAGAAUCUAGACGAUGGGAAGCAUGGGUGAAGGGGAAUGCCCUGUUCUUGCUGUGGUGGCUGUGGAGUUGCCAGCUUCGUGUUAGGCGUGUGGCUCACUGACUAUUUCCUUCAGUCUAGGCAGGCCAAGAUGCCCAAGCUAGAAGAGACCUGACGCUUCGGAGUAACCUUCUCAGCCUAUUUCAUGGAACUUCUGUGGGAUGCAAGAAGGUACUUGCGGGUUUUUGUUUCUGUUUUGAGGUAGAGACUCUAGUGAGUUAGGUUGGCCUUAACGUUGCUGUGUAGCCAAAGAUAGCUUUGAACUUGUGAUCUCACGCGUCCAACUUCCUAGAGUUUUGAGUUGUGAUCUUCUUCCAAGAAGCCCAGGAUUCACUUCUGUUGGAAUCAGUCAUCUGGCUAAGCAAGAGAAAACGUGUAACAAGUAGCUGGGCGCAGUGGCACACACCAGUAAUCCCAGCGCUCAGGGAGGCAGAGGCAGGCAGAGCUCUUGAGUUGGAGACCAGCUUGGUCUACAAACUGAGUCCAGGACAAGCAAGGAUACAUAGAGGAAACCCUGUCUCUAUUAACGUGCACCCCCCCCCAAAAAAAAAAGAACAAGAGAUCUGUGACCUUUCCAUGUUAGAAGCCAUGUGAUUGAAUCAGAAACUUUAGCUGUGUUGAAAUGUAUAGAACUAUUUUGAAACAGCUAGUGUUUGGGCCCUGAUUCUUGCCUCAGCUUAUGAGGUCAUGAUAGGUCUAGUAUGGGUGUGGGCUGCUGCCGAAUGUGGCCACAGGCCUAUUGGCUAACUGAGGGUGCAUCCAGAAGUCAGAAACUUGGCUUUGUUAUUGGCCCCACAAGGCAGUGGGCAUUUAUAAUAGCCUUUAGUCUGGUGGUGUUACCUUACUUUAACAGCAUAACUUGAUGUUUCUAAUCUGCAGAUGAGGAAGUGAGACUCCAGCCACGUCGAAAAACAGAAUCAGGUUUGGAGCCUGCUCUUCACCUCCCACCUAGAGUGAAUCAGCAGUUUCUGCUCUUGGUCCAAGCUGCUGCAUCUCAGGACCAGUGCGGUGUCUGGUAGGCAUCCUCCUCCCAGACACAGGAACGUGGCUGUGCCUGAGGUUUUUUUGACGCCUGAAUAUAAUAAACCGUGGAUGUCUCAGCUAGCUAGAGGGAAA
ensembl:lncRNA